GGCAACAUGACCGAGUGGUUAAGGUGUCAGACUUGAAUUUUCUUCACAACGCAUCUGAUCCUCUCUGAGGGCGCAGGUUCAAAUCCUGCUGUUGUCG